GCCGGGGUGGCAGAAUCAGGCUAAUGCGCCGGCCUCGAGAGCCGGUGGUCCUUUGGAUCAUCAGGGUUCAAAUCCCUGCCCCGGCG
rfam:Candidate divison MSBL1 archaeon SCGC-AAA385D11 AAA385D11_Contig_24_C, whole genome shotgun sequence.